rnacentral:tRNA from 1 species
GCCCGCAUGAGGUAGCUUGGAUAUCCUGGUGCGGAGCCUCCUACCCGGGUUCGAAUCCCGGUGCGGGCA